rnacentral:snRNA from 1 species
GGAACUAAGGGUGAUAUGAUUGUGCCAUCUGCCUCCCUGUAGAUCGCCAGGGAGGGCUCAGCUGCUCUGGCUGGCCGGGCGCAUGUCCCCUUCAAUCCUCCACAUUUAUGGCUUCCCCUUAGACACAGGCCCUUCCUCGGCCGAGUGUAGAGGAGUAGCUGCUCUCCCCUGCUAGGACCUCCCAGUUUCUGUACAGAGAAAGGACACAGCAAGGACAGUCUUCAGGAGCAUGGCAGGCACCAGCCGAAAGCUUUACAGCUCUCGGGU